rnacentral:lncRNA from 1 species
GCUGGUACUCAGAAAUAUAGCCAGUCACAGGAAAGAAUUAAUAUAUUAGACAUAGCAUCAUUGAGGUAGAUACACACAUACAUUCACCGAAAAUACUUUAAUGCAGAAACAAUGUGUGAUGAGUAUUGUUAUUUUUCUUGUUCCUACAGAAUUGAUUUCAACAAAUUUUCUUAGGUGAAACCUUCCAAGUUACAUGUUUCAGCUGUUUGAAACAAGAACUAAGGAGGCAAAUAUAGUAUUUCAAACCUCAUCACAAUUUAUUAAUGCUACAGAGAGGAAUACUGUGUUUAAUGUCCCAGGAUCUCUAUGCCAUUUGAUGCUUCAAAUCUUUUAUCUUCAUUAUCACCAUCGUCUAAUGAAACAAAAGAAAUUACAACAGCCAAAGAUGAAACCUAAGGCAAGACAGAUGACAGCAUGAUGGAAGGAAAGAGUACACUGAGUGCCUUAUCGAUCUAUCUGCCAGCCUGUGAAUGGUGGGUAAUAAAAAUUUAUUGAAAAUUAGGGAAAAAAAUCACUUAUUCUAAUUCUUCUGAAAGGCAUUACUGAUGUUGCAUAUGAAUAAAUCCCUCCUUCCCCAGGACGAAACUACCAUCCUCCACCAUCCAACCCUCUAAACAGCACGAAUUUAAAAAUCUUGCAAUUUUAUUUGCAUA